AGGUAUGUCCCAGCUUUCUCUUCCACAGGGGCUCUGUGAUGGGGAAGGGGCUAGAGAAGCUCUGUGUGCAGAGGUAACCCACCCCUGCCAAUCAUGCGGUACAGAGGAGGCCUUUAAAAAGCAGGAAGCAGGUGGAGAAGGACACCUUGAGCCAGAAGCGGCUAGAGUGGCUCCUGAAGCAGCAGGAGGAACUCCUAUACCGGCAAUCCUCACUCCUAGCCCAAUGAGGAGUACAGAGAACUCCCAAGAGACAGAAGGGGAAAAAACACAACCAACCUUACAACUAUUUAUGAGCUGACUUGAUGAAGAUGAAAGGUGUAGGACUGAAAAGCUUUGAGCCACAGAGAAGGGUGUGCAUAGGAAUUUCUGCAAUGUCAAUAACAGGAAUAGUCAAAACGACAAUAUGAAGAGACAACAGCAUGUUUUGGUGAAGGUCAUCAGAGAACCCUGAAGAUCUGAACAAUGGAGUGAGCAGUGGAAUCAGAAAAGGUGCUUCAGUAGAUGGGGGGCGGGGUAGAGCUCCUCACUAAGUCUUUUGCUCCUUGGCCUCUUUCUAGGGUAAGUUUUUUUCCUUAAGUAAGUUCUUUUGGAAUUUAGUGACAGUCCAUGAUAGUAGCUUCUUCUUGAGUGGAGAGGGGAGUAUUCCCAUUUUCAUCUGGAGGAUGUGUUCUCCCCAAAAUUGGGUGUGGAGCUAGUUCCUUGAUUACUUUUGUCCACAUCCAGCCUGAAGAAUCAGUUUAUGGUGUGGCCAGCCAUGUGACAGAGUAUAGAGUUUACCUGCAAGACACCUAAUGUGGACAGUGUGGAUAGGGGAGAUUUUAGGUUAUCUGAUCAGAGAUGACAUCCAUAUAGAGUUUGAAGUCUCAAGAUGAUGAGUCUUGUGGACUUUUGAUCACCAUGUCAAAUAGCUUCAGUCAGCCCCUCUGGGCAUAGAGUUGUUACUCUGCCUUCAGACUGGUCCUGUCUGGGUUUGAGCUGUUUGUUAUGAUUCUUUCAGGAUUAACAAAAUAUCAAGUAUCUUUUUGCAGGCAGAAAUGAACAGAUUGAGAAUCAGCCAAAGUGUAUAUACACAGGCAACAAAUAAUGGAAAAAAUGAAAAUGAUCAUGCUCAGAUGUUAACUAUUUAAAAAUGUUUAGAAACUAACUCUGCUGCUGCCAACAGUGUGAAUUGAAUCAGGAAAAUUUAUUAGUGUUUGCAUUAUUUAUCCGCUCUUUCAUUUACAACAGGUUUAAUUAAAAUAAACCUCUGCAGUUUUUCUAAAUAUUUAUUCAGGAUACUGUUAAAUGUAAAUGUGACAUUUUGUA